AUGCAGUAUAUCCACUUUCUUCUAUCUAUUUUAAGUAUUAUUGUGGGUCUGCAGUAUGAAUCACUACACGCUGGAGAAGUUCCUGGAGGCGAUCAGGAGCAGAGGCAUCAAGAUAUGCCAUGGGUGCAAUGCCUCGCAGGCUUUUGCACCUGCCUAGUUAUGCAUAUGUUGGCAAGACAAGUUUUGCCUGCUCUGCUUCAUAUCAGUCUCUUCUCAUCGCGGCCAGAGCUUGGAAGCAAUUCAACUAGGCACCAUGACGCUGGAUGGAAGUACAACUUCCUGUCGGAAGGUUCUUAUAUAUGGUCUCUAGAAACACUCGCACGCAGACUCUCUGCCCUCAUUCGCCCGCCGCCGCCCUUCGUCCCUUCGCCGCCGCCGCUCCAUGCCUUCGCCGCCGCCCUCGCACAUCAAAGCCGCCGCCCUCCAUCGCACGAUCCACUUCAGGAGACGCCGCGACCCCGUUGA
rnacentral:rRNA from 1 species